rnacentral:misc_RNA from 1 species
GGUAACUGAUCUUCUGGAGAUGUUUGUCUUGAGAGGGAGAGCCCCGGGACUGGAACGUUUGGAUGGUACAGUGAACUGUUCAUAGAGGGCCAUCUUAUUCCUUGGAGGCGCUCUAGGCCAACCUUUCUCGGUGUCAUGAACAUGGAGCCUAGGGAACAUAGGUUCCAUCGUCUUCUCGUCAACCUUUCCUCUCUUCAUCGUUUCUUCUCCCAAAUUCAACCCAAAGUACGGUUACAAAGACAUGUUUUCCCUCUCAUUUCGA